AGAGUUUGAUCAUGGCUCAGAGCGAACGCUGGCGGCAGGCUUAACACAUGCAAGUCGAGCGGGUGUAGCAAUACAUCAGCGGCAGACGGGUGAGUAACGCGUGGGAACGUACCUUUUGGUUCGGAACAACCCAGGGAAACUUGGGCUAAUACCGGAUAAGCCCUUACGGGGAAAGAUUUAUCGCCGAAAGAUCGGCCCGCGUCUGAUUAGCUAGUUGGUGAGGUAAUGGCUCACCAAGGCGACGAUCAGUAGCUGGCCUGAGAGGAUGAUCAGCCACAUUGGGACUGAGACACGGCCCAAACUCCUACGGGAGGCAGCAGUGGGGAAUAUUGGACAAUGGGGGCAACCCUGAUCCAGCCAUGCCGCGUGAGUGAUGAAGGCCCUAGGGUUGUAAAGCUCCUUUGUGCGGGAAGAUAAUGACGGUACCGCAAGAAUAAGCCCCGGCUAACUUCGUGCCAGCAGCCGCGGUA
rnacentral:rRNA from 1 species